rnacentral:misc_RNA from 1 species
UCCCCGUUCACCGGGGCAGUCCCCUCAGAGUGCCCGGCAUUACCCGGUAGCAACAAAGGGCGAGGGUUGCGCUCGUUGCGGGACUUAACCCAACAUCUCACGACACGAGCUGACGACAGCCAUGCAGCACCUGUGCACAGGCCCCGAAAGGAGGGCGACUUUCAUCACCUGUCCUGUGCAUGUCAAACCCAGGUAAGGUUCUUCGCGUUGCGUCGAAUUAAACCACAUGCUCCACCGCUUGUGCGGGCCCCCGUCAAUUCCUUUGAGUUUCAGCCUUGCGACUGUACUCCCCAGGCGGCAUAUUUAACGCGUUAGCUCCGGCACUCAGGAAUCGCUUCCCGAACACCCAGUCGACAUCGUUUAGGGCGUGGACUAC